CCCUGACUCUGGGAUAAGCGUGGGAAACGACGUCUAAUACUGGAUAUGAUCACUGGCCGCAUGGUCUGGUGGUGGAAAGAUUUUUUGGUUGGGGAUGGACUCGCGGCCUAUCAGCUUGUUGGUGAGGUAAUGGCUCACCAAGGCGACGACGGGUAGCCGGCCUGAGAGGGUGACCGGCCACACUGGGACUGAGACACGGCCCAGACUCCUACGGGAGGCAGCAGUGGGGAAUAUUGCACAAUGGGCGAAAGCCUGAUGCAGCAACGCCGCGUGAGGGAUGACGGCCUUCGGGUUGUAAACCUCUUUUAGUAGGGAAGAAGCGAAAGUGACGGUACCUGCAGAAAAAGCACCGGCUAACUACGUGCCAGCAGCCGCGGUAAUACGUAGGGUGCAAGCGUUGUCCGGAAUUAUUGGGCGUAAAGAGCUCGUAGGCGGUUUGUCGCGUCUGCUGUGAAAUCCCGAGGCUCAACCUCGGGCUUGCAGUGGGUACGGGCAGACUAGAGUGCGGUAGGGGAGAUUGGAAUUCCUGGUGUAGCGGUGGAAUGCGCAGAUAUCAGGAGGAACACCGAUGGCGAAGGCAGAUCUCUGGGCCGUAACUGACGCUGAGGAGCGAAAGCAUGGGGAGCGAAAAGGAUUCGAUACCCUGGUAGUCCAUGCCGUAAACGUUGGCGCUAGAUGUAGGGACCUUUCCACGGUUUCUGUGUCGUAGCUAACGCAUUAAGCGCCCCGCCUGGGGAGUACGGCCGCAAGGCUAAAACUCAAAGGAAUUGACGGGGGCCCGCACAAGCGGCGGAGCAUGCGGAUUAAUUCGAUGCAACGCGAAGAACCUUACCAAGGCUUGACAUACACCGGAAACGGCCAGAGAUGGUCGCCCCCCCGUGGUCGGUGUACAGGUGGUGCAUGGUUGUCGUCAGCUCGUGUCGUGAGAUGUUGGGUUAAGUCCCGCAACGAGCGCAACCCUCGUUCUAUGUUGCCAGCGGGUUAUGCCGGGGACUCAUAGGAGACUGCCGGGGUCAACUCGGAGGAAGGUGGGGAUGACGUCAAAUCAUCAUGCCCCCUAUGUCUUGGGCUUCACGCAUGCUACAAUGGCCGGUACAAAGGGCUGCGAUACCGUAAGGUGGAGCGAAUCCCAAAAAGCCGGUCUCAGUUCGGAUUGAGGUCUGCAACUCGACCUCAUGAAGUCGGAGUCGCUAGUAAUCGCAGAUCAGCAACGCUGCGGUGAAUAAGUUCCCGGGCCUUGCACACACCGCCCGUCAA
rnacentral:rRNA from 1 species